UGGGGAAUAUUGGACAAUGGGCGCAAGCCUGAUCCAGCCAUGCCGCGUGAGUGAUGAAGGCCCUAGGGUUGUAAAGCUCUUUCACCGGUGAAGAUAAUGACGGUAACCGGAGAAGAAGCCCCGGCUAACUUCGUGCCAGCAGCCGCGGUAAUACGAAGGGGGCUAGCGUUGUUCGGAUUUACUGGGCGUAAAGCGCACGUAGGCGGACUAUUAAGUCAGGGGUGAAAUCCCGGGGCUCAACCCCGGAACUGCCUUUGAUACUGGUAGUCUUGGGUUCGAGAGAGGUGAGUGGAAUUCCGAGUGUAGUGGUGAAAUUCGUAGAUAUUCGGAGGAACACCAGUGGCGAAGGCGGCUCACUGGCUCGAUACUGACGCUGAGGUGCGAAAGCGUGGGGAGCAAACAGG
rnacentral:rRNA from 1 species